rnacentral:lncRNA from 1 species
CUCAACCUCAGCCCAGCGCAGGGCCCUCUGGCUGACUGACGGCAGCUUAACAAGCCAAGAGGUGUGCUUCUUCCUGUGCCCUGCAAUCCUUCUGGGGGAGGCAGAGGGAGACUUGCCCACACGCAGAGGAGAAGGCGACGUAAAGAUGGAGGCGAGACAGAUUCAGAAAUGCUGGCCCCGAGGAUCAGGGUGACGUGGCCACAAGCCAAGGAAUGCUGGCUUAUGGAUUCUCUCCCAGGGCCUCUGGAGGGAGCAGGGCCCUGCCAACACCUUGAUUUUGGCCCAGGGAUUCUGAUUUCGGAUGGCUGUCCUGCAGAACUGUGAGAGAACGCGUUUCUGUUGUUUUAAGCUGCCGCAUUAGCAAAGCCAACAAAUUACAUUCAGUUUAUAUAAUUUAUUACAGCAGUCAUAGGAAACUGACUGCAAUAUGUAAGUCAAAUAGCACACCGCCUGGACGUCUUGCUUUGAAUUAUCACCCCAUCCAUUUGCUAUGUGACCUUGGGUCAAUUACUUACUCUCAGUCUAAGCCUUAGUUUUUCCUCCUGUGAAAUGGGAAUAACAGCACUGCCUCACAGGAUCGGUGUGAGGGUUAAAUGAGAAAAGGGGAAGUGCUUAGGGUAGAGCAGAAUUUCCCCAUCUUGGCCCACUGACAUUUGGGGCUGGACGUUUCUUUGCGGCAAGGGGCUGUGCUGUGCUGUGCAUUGUGGGAUGUUUAGCAGCAUCACUGGCCUUUGUAUACUCACUGCCACAGUACCCCCCCUACAGUGGCGACAGUCAAAAAUGUCUGCAGACGUGGCCGCAUGUCCCCCGGGGGCAAAAUCCCCCUGGCUGAGAAACACCGGCACAGAGCCUGGCUCAUCAAAAGUGCUCAACAGACAGGGACUAUUAUUUGUGCCGAAUGAAGAGGUUGUUUAGGGAGGAAGUAGAGCCUGUGCUUAGGAGCGUGGGUUCUGGCCUCAGACUGCCUGGGUUCCAACCCAAACUCUAUCACUUACCAGCUCUGUGACUUUGGGCUCAUUAUUUAACAUCUCUGUGCCUCAGUCACGCAUCUGUAAAAAAAAGGGAAAAUAAUAUCUACUUCACAGGAUUAUGAAAGGUCAGGUGAGACAAUCC